rnacentral:misc_RNA from 1 species
GCCAGUUGUUGGCAAGAGUUGAUAGAAUUUCUAACUCAUCAAAAUGAGAGUAAGAACUAGAUUAUCAGACUAGUUUUCUUACUAUAGCAGAUCUAGAAAGCAAGAAACCCACUAAUCUUUAACAGCCAACUCCAAGCUAAAGGGAUGCUUUCGAGCUGCUAAUUUCCAAUUUGAGGAAUUUCAAAGUAUGUCGCAAGCUUAAU